rnacentral:tRNA from 1 species
GGGCGUCUAGUGUAGUGGUUAUCACAUUCGCUUCGCAUUUUAAGUCCGAGACUGCGAAAGGUCACCGGUUCAACUCCGGUGUCGUCCA